UACAGAGGGUGCAAACGUUGCUCGGAAUCAUUGGGCGUAAAGCGCACGUAGGCGGUCCAGCAAGCGGGGAGUGAAAGCCCUCGGCUUAACCGAGGAAGUGCUUUCCGAACUACUGGGCUUGAGUACGCAAGGGGGUCGCGGAAUUCCCGGUGUAGAGGUGAAAUUCGUAGAUAUCGGGAGGAACACCAGUGGCGAAGGCGGCGACCUGGGGCGAUACUGACGCUGAGGUGCGAAAGCGUGGGGAGCAAACAGG
rnacentral:rRNA from 1 species